UUAAUUAAAAAAAUACUUAUAAAGGAAAUGCAUAGGUACGUCUUUCUUUUUGGUGUGCAAAAAUAUCUAUAACUUGACACAAUCUAUUAACCUUCGUAAAAUAUGUCUGUUUUCAUCGACACGGUCAUUGAACUCGCGUAUUGACUUUCGGUACGCGGAAUCUAGUGCUUUACGAAUGUUUUGUCGUCCGAUAGACGCCAAUUGCAGUUCAUUCAACAAAUGGUACCGAGAUUGUGAAUGUUUUUUCAUCUUGAUUGAAAGAUGAGCUAAGUCGUCAACGCCCGUUUCAGUCCAAGCCAAGCACUCUCACCUCCGCCGGCCGCGCCGAAAGCAAAAUAGUUUGUUGCUUUCAUCACAACCAUGAACCACACAACCACGGUGUUUUCACAUAUUGUUCGGAUUUAAACACACGCGUAUAUGUUUUCGUUUUGGUAGUACAUUUUUGCGUAAGGUCAAGUUCAGGCCGUGGCGGUCCCUUAGCUUUCAAUUCAAGCCGAAUUUGUAACGUUUUAACACACUUUUUAAUGAACGCCACAUUAUAAUUGUCGAUUUUAACACUCACAAGUAAUACUGAUAACUACAGGCUAUUUCAACAGUCAACACGUAUCUUAUGAUUUUAAUUCGAAAAUUCCCGAUUAUAGGUACAUUCGCGCGCGUGCAAGUUGACUAGAGUGUUUGUUUAUAUUUGAGUGGCAACGUCGCGCAAUUGCUGUCUUGUGGACGGGCGCGCGGUAAAAACGAACCGGCAACGUUUGCGGGAGCGGCGCUCCGAAUUUUGCUAUUUUUUCAUAGAAAAUCUUCUGUUUCACGCG